GAUGAACGCUGGCGGCGUGCCUAAUACAUGCAAGUCGAGCGAACAGACGAGGAGCUUGCUCCUCUGACGUUAGCGGCGGACGGGUGAGUAACACGUGGAUAACCUACCUAUAAGACUGGGAUAACUUCGGGAAACCGGAGCUAAUACCGGAUAAUAUAUUGAACCGCAUGGUUCAAUAGUGAAAGACGGUUUUGCUGUCACUUAUAGAUGGAUCCGUGCCGCAUUAGCUAGUUGGUAAGGUAACGGCUUACCAAGGCAACGAUGCGUAGCCGACCUGAGAGGAUGACCGGCCACACUGGAACUGAGACACGGCCCAGACUCCUACGGGAGGCAGCAGUGGGGAAUCUUCCGCAAUGGGCGAAAGCCUGACGGAGCAACGCCGCGUGAGUGAUGAAGGUCUUCGGAUCGUAAAACUCUGUUAUUAGGGAAGAACAAAAGUGUAAGUAAAUAUGCACGUCUUGACGGUACCUAAUCAGAAAGCCACGGCUAACUACGUG
rnacentral:rRNA from 1 species